AUAACUUACCCUUAGGACUGGGAUAACUCUGGGAAACUGGGGAUAAUACCGGAUAUUAGGCUAUGCCUGGAAUGGUUUGCCUUUGAAACGUUCUUUUCGCCUAAGGAUAGAUCUGCGGCUGAUUAGGUCGUUGGUGGGGUAAUGGCCCACCAAGCCUAUGAUCGGUACGGGUUGUGAGAGCAAGAGCCCGGAGAUGGAACCUGAGACAAGGUUCCAGACCCUAUGGGGUGCAGCAGGCGCGAAACCUCCACAAUGUACGAAAGUGCGAUGGGGGAAUCCCAAGUGUUAUUCUUAACAGAAUAGCUUUUCAUUAGUGUAAAAAGCUUUUAGAAUAAGAGCUGGGCAAGACCGGUGCCAGCCGCCGCGGUAACACCGGCAGCUCGAGUGGUAGCUGUUUUUAUUGGGCCUAAAGCGUUCGAAGCCGGUUUGAUUAGUCUUUGGUGAAAGCUUGUAGCUUAACUAUAAGAAUUGCUGGAGAUACUAUCAGACUUGAAGUCGGGAGAGGUUAGAGGUACUACCGGGGUAGGGGUGAAAUCCUAUAAUCCUGGGAGGACCACCUGUGGCGAAAGCGUCUAACUAGAACGAUCUUGACGGUGAGUAACGAAAGCCAGGGGCGCGAACCGGAUUAGAUACCCGGGUAGUCCUGGCCGUAAACGAUGUGGACUUGGUGUUGGAAUGGCUUCGAGUUGUUCCAGUGCCGAAGGGAAGCUGUUAAGUCCACCGCCUGGGAAGUACGGUCGCAAGACUGAAACUUAA
rnacentral:rRNA from 1 species